AAGUCGUAACAAGGUUUCCGUAGGUGAACCUGCGGAAGGAUCAUUAAAGAGUUAGGGUCUUUGGCCCGACCUCCCAACCCUAUGUUUACUUAACCAGUGUUGCUUCGGCGGGCCCGUCUCCGGACCGUCGGGGGAUCGUCAAACGUCCUCUGACCCGUGCCCGUCGGUGGCCUAACUAUAAACUCUGAAUUAAUCGUGUCAUUGUCUGAGUCAAACAUUUAAUAAAAGCAAAACUUUCAACAACGGAUCUCUUGGUUCUGGCAUCGAUGAAGAGCGCAGCGAAAUGCGAUAAGUAAUGCGAAUUGCAGAAUUCCAGUGAGUCAUCGAAUCUUUGAACGCACAUUGCGCCCUUUGGUAUUCCGAAGGGCAUGCCUGUUCGAGCGUCAUUAUCACCCCUCAAGCCUAGCUUGGUGUUGGACGGUCGGUCGUAGCCCCUACGACCCCUCCUAAAGUUAAUGACGGCGGCCUGUUAACCCCCGGUACACUGAGCUUCUUCAUUGGGCACGUAUCGGUUCCAAGGGUGGCAGACGUCGGUCCUCUUCCUUCACCGGAAACUUCUCAAGGUUGACCUCGGAUCAGGUAGGAAUACCCGCUGAACUUAA
rnacentral:rRNA from 1 species